rnacentral:lncRNA from 1 species
GGAUGUGAUUAGAGCAAACUCUAAUAGUAAUAAGUAAUAUCACGAGACAUGACAAUGUAUCUAGAAGGCAAGAAAAGUAAGAAAUAUUCUCGAUACCUAAAGACACAUUUAUUAUAAGGCCAUGGUUUUGCCCCAUGAACUAUUUGCAUAUCGUCAAUUUAGCCCCUUAACAAUUUUUUCAGUAAAUUAAGGACUCCAAUUGUUU